rnacentral:rRNA from 1 species
GAUGAACGCGGCGGCGUGCCUAACACAUGCAAGUCGAACGGAGAUUACGGACGGAAGUUUUCGGAUGGAAGCCUGUAAUUCUUAGUGGCGGACGGGUGAGUAACGCGUGGGCAACCUGCCCUAUACAGGGGGAUAGCAGCUGGAAACGGCUGGUAAGACCGCAUAAGUCGGUUAAAUCGCAUGAUUUGAUCGGGAAAUGAGCAAUCAGGUAUAGGAUGGGCCCGCGUCCGAUUAGCCAGUUGGCAGGGUAAAAGCCUACCAAAGCGACGAUCGGUAGCCGGACUGAGAGGUCGGACGGCCACAUUGGGACUGAGACACGGCCCAAACUCCUACGGGAGGCAGCAGUGGGGGAUAUUGCACAAUGGAGGAAACUCUGAUGCAGCGACGCCGCGUGAGUGAAGAAGUAUUUCGGUAUGUAAAGCUCUAUCAGCAGGGAAGAUGAUGACGUACCUG